rnacentral:rRNA from 1 species
AUUGAACGCUGGCGGCAUGCCUUACACACGCAAGUCGAACGGCAGCACGGGGCAACCUGGUGGCGAGUGGCGAACGGGUGAGUAAUGCAUCGGAACGUGCCAUUGAGUGGGGGAUAACGUAGCGAAAGUUGCGCUAAUACCGCAUAUUCUGUGAGCAGGAAAGCAGGGGACCGCAAGGCCUUGCGCUCUUUGAGCGGCCGAUGUCAGAUUAGCUAGUUGGUGAGGUAACGGCUUACCAAGGCGACGAUCUGUAGCGGGUCUGAGAGGAUGAUCCGCCACACUGGAACUGAGACACGGUCCAGACUCCUACGGGAGGCAGCAGUGGGGAAUUUUGGACAAUGGGCGCAAGCCUGAUCCAGCCAUGCCGCGUGAGUGAAGAAGGCCUGG